rnacentral:sRNA from 1 species
CUGCCUCAGCCUCCCAAAGUGCUGGGAUUACAGGAGUGAGCCACUGUGCCCAGCCCCUGGUCAUUUUUCAAAGGGCAUAUGUAUGGUCUUCCCUGAAGGUCUCUAGAAGAAACUGUCAGUGCCAGUGAAGAAGAAAACGUGGGACACCAGCAGGCUGGGAAUGUGAAGCAGCAGGAAAAAUCGCAGCCCUCAGAGAGUCGCUGGCUGAAGUAUCUAGAAAAGGACUCCCAAGAACUGGAGCUGGAAGGAACAGGAGUGUGUUUCAGCAAACAGCCUUCAUCCAAAAUGGAGGAGCCAGGCCCCCACUUCAGUCAAGACCUGCCUAGAAAAAGGAAGUGGAGCGGGAGCACCGUCCAGCCUCCGUGCAGCCGUGGCGUCCAGGACUCGGGUGGCUCUGAGGUCGCCUGGGGACCCCAGAAGGUCAGUGACAGAGAACAGUUUCUCUCUGGUCCCAGUGACCACCGAGUGUGUGUGGGAUAAUUCUGUCUUCUGUCACAGUUGACGAAGUGUGCGAUUCCUACCCGCAGAAAGCCCAUCUUCCCACCCGGGUUUCUUGUCUUUUCUGUCUGAAGCCAACUCCUUCCUCGGGUCUGUACCCCCUUUUCCCUCCCAUGCCUCUCGUCUCCCAUGAGGGUAACUCAGGACCAAAGAGCAUUGUGACCCUUGGAGCAACGGAGGUUGGCCCGCAAGUCACCCUGACGAUGG